rnacentral:rRNA from 1 species
UGUUGGCUUAGAAGCAGCCACCAUUUAAAGAGUGCGUAAUAGCUCACUGGUCGAGAGACUCUGCGCCGAAAAUGUCCGGGGCUAAAGUGUAAAACCGAAGUCGUGUCAUAUGCAGCAAUGUAUAUGGGUAGGGGAGCGUUCUCAUCGGGCUGAAGCAGUACCGUAAGGAGUUGUGGACUGAUGAGAAGUGAGAAUGUCGGUAUGAGUAGCGAAAAGAAUGGUGAGAAUCCAUUCCACCGAAAGCCUAAGGGUUCCUGAGCAACGAUCGUCGUCUCAGGGUAAGUCGGGACCUAAGCCGAGGCGGAAAAGCGUAGGCGAUGGACAACAGGUUGAAAUUCCUGUACCGGUGUGAAUCGUUUGAUCGAAGGAGUGACACAGUAAGGUAGGUCAGCACGCGAUUGGAAGUGCGUGUUUAAGCAUGUAGGUUGAGUUAUAGGCAAAUCCGUAACUCUAAAAGCUGAGAUGUGAUGACGAGCUGUUUACAGCGAAGUGAUUGAUCCUACACUGUCGAGAAAAGCUUCUAGGUAGAGACACAUCGCCCGUACCAAAACCGACACAGGUAGGCGGGGAGAGAAUCCUAAGGUGCGCGGGAAAACCCUCGUUAAGGAACUCGGCAAAAUGCCUCCGUAACUUCGGGAAAAGGAGGACUCAUGUAGUGUGAAGGGCAGUAACGCGUGGAGCAUGAAUGAGUGGCACAAGAGAGGCGCAAGCGACUGUUUACCACAAACACAGGUGCCUGCUAAAGCGAAAGCUGAUGUAUAGGUGCUGACACCUGCCCGGUGCUGGAAGGUUAAGAGGAGGGGUUAGACUUCGGUCGAAGCUCUGAAUUGAAGCCCCAGUAAACGGCGGCCGUAACUAUAACGGUCCUAAGGUAGCGAAAUUCCUUGUCGGGUAAGUUCCGACCCGCACGAAAGGUGUAACGACUUGCGCACUGUCUCAACGAGGGACCCGGUGAAAUUGAAGUACCUGUGAAGAUGCAGGUUACCCGCGACUGGACAGAAAGACCCCAUGGAGCUUUACUGCAACCUAAGAUUGAACUUAGUUAAUGAAUGUACAGGAUAGGUGGGAGACUUAGAAUCUAGGGCGCCAGUCUUAGAGGAGUCGUUGUUGGGAUACCACCCUUUGAUUAAUUGAUUUCUAACAGGCCGAUUAACAACCGGCUGGACAGUCUUAGGCGGGCAGUUUGACUGGGGCGGUCGCCUCCUAAAGAGUAACGGAGGCGCCCAAAG